UUUGCGGCUAAAAGUGGUAAGGUGACAGAACAGCCACCGAAACGAGACAUCAAAUGUUACAACUGCAACAGCAAGGGACAUAUAGCAAGCGAUUGCCGUAAACCUAAACGUGAAGACGGUGCUUGUUUUGCGUGUGCUGGAUUCGGACAUCAAGCCAAGGAUUGCGAGUUAUAUAGGAAAACUGAGAGGAAGAACGAGCAAAAUGAUUAUAAUGUCUCAUAGAUUCUGGCAGCCCCAUCAGUUUCAUAAGGCGGUCAAAUGUUCCAAUCGCUGUAGAAAUUUUUGAAAGCGGAAAGAAAACUUACUUUGGUAUAAAUAAAAGUGAAUUGAAAAUUAAUGGAAUUAUAGAAUGUUUAGUUUUGUUUGCGAAUAAAAAUAUUGUAACGAAA